CUGAAAGUCUGUAAAUGUUGGCAGUAAACCUGAUUUGCAAUGGAGGUUGAAUCAUUUUGAUUGCAACUGUAUGUAAAUGACCUCUGUUCUGACCUCCUUGCAAAUUAUACACAUAAUUAUAUACUAUACAUUCACCAUCCAUUGGAUUAAAGUGAAUCCAAUCAGCCAAUCAUGUGGAAGCAGCACAAUGCAUAAAAUCAUGCAGAUACAGGUCAAGAGCUUCAGUUAAUGUUCACAUCAAACAUCAGAAUGAAGAAAAAAUGUGAUCUCUGUGACUUUAACCAUGGCAUGGUUGUUGGUACCAGAAGGGCUGAUCUGAGUAUUUCAGAAACUCUCUCUACACAGAGUGGUGCGAAUAGCAAAAACUAUGAGUGAGGGACAGAUCUGUGGGUGGAAACACCUUGUUUAUAAGAGAAGUCAGAGGAAAAUGGCUAGAUUGGUUACAGCUGCCAGAGUAAACCACUUGUAUUGAAAAGAUAAAUAGUGGCAUAAACAUCAGUUUAUGUUUACACAGCAUUUGUUUAUCAGUUCCAUCAGGAUUUUGCGAUUUUGCAAUCGCAGAAAUGAAUGCAAAAAUCAAGCAUUAUUCUCUUUAAUAUUCAGAAGAGUUUGCAAUUUUUCAAAAUUACAGCAGAUUUGGGCCAAGACACGUUAUGUGACAUCAUCGCAACAUGUAUUCAAGCCAAACUCUCUUUGAUUAACGUGCAUUGAACAGGAGUACAGCUAAUUGUCACAAUUACCAACAAACAUCACUGUGAAAGACUGACGAGGGGGGGGGGGGGGGGCUAAACGUGAUACUGCAGUACUGCAGUCAUGCUUCUGUUUUUACACUUCCUGUGCCUAGCUAACAGUGAUGUGAUAGUACAGGAGAUCAGACAUAAAAAUCACAAAUGAAAUAAGUUUUCAGGAAAGAUACAUUUUUAUCACACAGCUUGCCCUGAUGAGUGGAGACCUCUCUUCUUCUGGAGUUUCAGCCAAAAUUCACUGAACCUGUGAGCUGACAUCUUGGCUUGGUGGAUUUUCUCCCUUUAGUUGGGCAAUGCAAGUAUGGGCAGCCAAACAUGUGCGUAUUGAUAUUUUUUUCUUGCUCUGUGUAACUAAAGUAAAUCUGCUGAGUUUAAAUAAAAUAAAAAAUAUAAUGUAUUGUUUUUUUUUUCUUGGUUAAACUACAGCCAGGCCAUCUGAUCAGCAACCUUUAUUAGAUCAUACAGAUGAAGGUGAAUUAAACAAAUAUCUUUUUUUUUAAAUACUCUUAUAUCCCUGCAUUAAAUUUCAAAGUAGUAGCAGGUUCCAUGAGUUAAUAUGUAAUCAACUGUAAAUCUCUAUUUUCUUUAUAAACAGUACCACUCAUUGAGAAGAUCUCAGUUGUGGUUAUGGGACCUCAUGGAGUUGGAAAGAAUACAGUUGGGAAUGCUAUUCUUAAAAAGAAAGCCUUCACAUUCCAGGAUAGAUCUAAAAACUAUUACUUGAAGGAGGAAAACACAACAUUUGACAGACAUGUUUCUGUCAUUCGUGUCCCAGGCUGGUCUGCAGAUUUAACCUCUGAAAACAAUAUACAACUUUGGCAAGUGAUUAAAGACAGUCUGAGGUCAGUUGAUGAUGGACCCCAUGCUAUUAUACUGGUUGUUAAUAUGAACACUGAAACUGUAGAGACCACAAAAGAGAAAUUAAAACAACUCCUGGGUGAUAAUGUUUUCCAGCAUAUUUUAAUCGCUUCAGUGGACAGAAAAAACAUUGUGGUUUGUCACAGUGAAAGAAAACAAACUGUCAUUAACAGAUGUAAAUAUCACUUAUUUGUAAGAUGCACAUGUGGACAGCAAAAUAAAAAGUUCAUUGAAACAAUUGAAGAUUUUAUUGUAUAUAAGGAAGACAUUCGUUUCUACACUGUGAGGAAAAAGGCACAAAAAAUGGAAUUGCAGCAUCAGGACCUGGCUAACCUUGUAGAUGGAUUAAACCACAAAAUUUCAGCUCUCUCAUGUUCCAAGGAUUCCAAUGAGCAUGUAAUACAAUCACAAAAAGCUGAAAUAAAGGAACUACAACGUCUGCUGAAAGAAAAGGAGCAUAUGUUGAGAGCCAAGGAGGAGGAGAUAAAAAGUUUAAAGUCAAAUCAAAAUCACACAAAGCUCUCUGCCCUGCACAAACAGCUUGAGCAUGCAGCAAUGAAAGAAAAAAAGCUUCAAGGAAUGGUUGGUGAAAUGAAAAAAAAUCUUGAAGAAAAAAAUAAAGAGAUAAAAGAACUGAGAAAAGAAAUCAAGCAUUGAAAUCUCAAAAUGAAAAUAAAAAAAGCACAAAACCACCAUCCAUGACUGGACGAAUGCAGAAGCCUACUAAUUCAGUUGAAUUAAUCCCCCUGAUCUCAACAGAAACAUUGAGCAGUGAAGCACCUCAAGCCAGUGAAGUCCACAGAGUUUCUGAAGAAAAACCGCAAAGAACUCAUUGAAAGAAUUGUGGCAGUGAAGCCCAUUGCUGAUGAACUGUUUCCAUUUAUCAACCAAUAUAAAUAUGAGAAGAUUCUACAGGCUCCAUCUGAGUAUGAGCAAAGGAGACAGCUCUACGACAUAAUGGAUAAAGGUGGAAAGAAAUUGCAAUUUGAGUUUUACAAAUGCCUGUUAAAACAUGAGAAAUAUCUUGUUGAAGACUUAGAGGAGUCACCAUAAAAUACAAAGUACUGGUAAGACUAAAGAAUGUGAAGGUCCAGUUACCAAAAUAGACAUAAUUUCUUUUCUGGGGGAAAAAAUUACACAUGAGAUGAACAACUGCCAGUCCAUCACUGGACACCUUGCACACAUGCAUUCACAUGAAAAGGCAAUACAGUGCAGCUAAUCCGUGUACCUGCCUGUUUUUGGACAAUGGGAGGAAACCCCUGCGAAUAUGGGGAGAACAUGCCAAACUCUGCACAUACAAUAACUCAGUCAAGAUACAUUCAAGAUCAGUGUAGGGUAAAUUACUCUAAAAAGUAAUCCACUAAAGAUUACUAAUGACUACUUUAAAAUUGUAAUCUUAUUACAAUACUGAUUACUAAGUACUUUACUUUCACAUUACUUUCAAAACCUACAUACCUACAAAAAUACACUACAAAUUGAAACUCAGUUCUUUCAGCACUUUUAGCGCAUAUCAAUGUAUGACACGAUCAGAAAAAUUUGGAUUUAUCAUAAAAGUUGCCUCAGGUGUUGUCACUAUUUGUAGGAAUACCAGACCGAUAAAAUAUAAAGCUUUUCUAACUUAUCUAGUUUGGUAUUGCUAAGCUAAGCUAUCACUGUAUGGGUGUAAGCUAUCACUGUAAGCUAUAGCUAAGCUAACACGGUAUGGGUUUAGCUGCUACAGUGCUAUGAAAAGUACAUUAUCCUUCCUUAUGCUCUGCUCAUAUCAUUUUCCCGUGAACUGGAACUCAUAUAGACAUUUACACACCUUGUUUUCCUGAUCAGCAUCAGAGGAUGCUACUGUUUCAAUUUCAACCCCUUUACUGGUUAAAAAAAUCGGCGUAUAUCCAUUUUUCCUCAGACUGACUGUAAAUUAGCGCUUGGCAGAAUUGAGAGUUGUCAGCCAAUAAGACACAAUAAUUUCUAUGUAUUUUCCUGUAAACCGUGUGUGGGCCAUACCAGCAAAAGCCUUCAUCGAGCCUGUAAUCAGUCACACCAUUAAAAUUAGAUCAUGGCAGAUUUUGAAGGACUCAGACUCUUUGUCUGAACACCUAACCAGUCUGUCUAUCUCUGUGUUUGAAAAGUCACAGUAAAACGUUAUACCCCUCAAUUUCUUUGAAUUUCUACCUGGUCACCAAACUCAGUAAAUUCCUGUCAAUUUCAUAGUAACAUUAAUACAUCAUAUGCCGAAGAGAACAUUUAUUUAUUUGUUCACUUUUUCUAGCAUUUUUCUAACGCCCAAGAAAAAUAAGAAGAAUACUGUGGGAAGAGACAUAGAACUCAUGUAAUGAGGAGUUGUGGUACAGUUGGGGUUGUGGUUUGCUGAAAACAUGGCAUAUCUCAGUUAUGUGUUUUUCUGACCCUGAAAGUAAGCCCAUUUACCUUCCAUGAUAUCAUCUCAAGUGAGGAGCACUAUUAUGUCCAGCACCCCUGAAUGACAGUUUGAAUUAAUCACAAUAUAUCAUAUUUUUAAGUUGUGGAAAUUGAAAAGAAACUCAAUAAGUCUAGGUAAUGCCAUUUGAUCCAACAUUAAAUAUACAAAAGUGACACUAUGAAUUAAUUAAUAGGUUUGUCCCUUUAAAGUCCACAAAAACUACAUAGGAGGUGAUGGCAUUGGAGACAUAGCUUAUCUUAGUGACUGUAUUAUUUUUUUUUUUAUGGAUAAAACUGCAAACAAUACUUUUAUUUGUGUGUAAGCAGAUGAGUGUCUGUCCUUUAAACUGUGGUCAUGUAAACUGUAUUAAAAUUCCACAACUCAAAAUAUUGAAUAAAAAUAUGCAACAUAAUAGAAUGUGAAUAUUGCAAACCAUUUUUUGUCAUGUAUCACUCUGCGAUAUCUACAAGAAAGCUAAUAAAAUAAUUUCAACUGA
ensembl:lncRNA